UGGGGAAUCUUGCGCAAUGGACGAAAGUCUGACGCAGCGACGCCGCGUGGGUGAUGAAGGCCUUCGGGUUGUAAAGCCCUGUGGGGAGAGAAGAAUAAGUGCGGGCUAAUACCCCGCAUGAUGACGGUAUCUCCUUAGCAAGCACCGGCUAACUCUGUGCCAGCAGCCGCGGUAAGACAGAGGGUGCAAACGUUGUUCGGAAUUACUGGGCGUAAAGCGUGUGUAGGCGGUCUGAUAAGUCGGAUGUGAAAGCCCCGGGCUCAACCCGGGAAGUGCACUCGAUACUGUUAGGCUAGAGUACUGGAGAGGUUGGUGGAAUUCUCGGUGUAGAGGUGAAAUUCGUAGAUAUCGAGAGGAACACCGGUGGCGAAGGCGGCCAACUGGACAGAUACUGACGCUGAGACACGAAAGCGUGGGGAGCAAACAGG
rnacentral:rRNA from 1 species